UACGGGAGGUGCUAGUGUUAUUCCCCAUGACUGGGCGUAUAGGGUAAGUAGGCGGUCAUUCAAGUCUCAAUAUAAAGACUCUUUAUAGUAAUAGUUUUUGAAACUGCCUGACUUGAGUACAUGGGGUGUUCGUGGAAGUUCGCAUCGAAGGUUUAAAUCUGUUUGUAGAUAAGGGGGAACGCCAAAGGUUAAUGCUAUGAACGGCCAUAUACUGACGCUGAGGUACGAAGGCAUGGGUAUCGACUGGG
rnacentral:rRNA from 1 species